UGGGGGGGGGGGGGGGGGGGGGGGGGGGGGUCUAGUUUUUAAAGAAUAAACUGAGAAAUACUCAUUAAUAAGAGAAAAAACCAUUUUACAAUAUCAACUAGUGUAUGUCCCAUGCAGCUCAUCUAAUUUUCAUAUAACUUAAACUUGCUACACCAGUUGAAUUUUUUUCUUCCUCUUGAAAAAUGUCAUUUGGAAUUAAGAAAUAUUGCAUUUUAAUUAGGAAACUCAUAAAAUAUCAAUAUCUAUGGAACUGACCAGUAAUGUGUAGUUUUAAAACCCUCAAAUAUAAAAUAAGAAUAUACCAACUCUUACCUACGUUGUGACCCAAAAUUUAACUCUCCAUGAUAAAUGCCAGCUCCAGAAAGCCAUGCAAAAUGUAUUGCUCUUCUUUGCUUUAUGUAGAAAUGCAGUUCACUGUAAUGAUUAAAUUUAUAACAGUAUUGUUAAUCAAUUUUAACAGCAUGGAUUACCAAUUAUUAGAGGUAAAACAAGCCAAGAACAAAAGAUUCCAAAUGCCACUUGCCUAUUGGGUAUUUCACCAGGAAGUUCCAUGAAAUGCACUGCACGCUCCAAAUAAGUAGAGAAGACAGUCUGGAUACAUAAAUAUAAAGAAACAACAUUGUUAACCAGAAUGCAAUAUAGAUCACUUAUAGUAGAAUGAAACUAAUUUACUUGGUAGAGCUAGAUUGCCCAGGAAAGGAAAAUGGACAUUCAAAUAACUUCUGUAGAAACUCAAAGUAUAACUAUCUGGGAACUGACAAUUGCUGGAAGAGGCAGGAAUGUCAAAGAUAUAGGAGACCCGUAGGAAGUAAUUGACAAAUAAGAAACCCUAAAACAGACUGCAUAUUUCCAUGCUCCUGUAGGUUGACCCUAUAUCUAACCCUACUAAUACCAUGGGGGGUAAAACAAAGAGAAAAAGAAGCCAUCUUUGUGAUUACACAGCAUAAUCUAAAUUUCUGGCCUUCAAAACAUUAGAUUGACUAAAUUUAUGUUUAUUCACAUUGAACACACAAUACUUGAACUCAUAGUUAGAUAUCACUUAAAAACAUUUCUUUCCUAGCUUAUCUAGCCCUAAAUUUUUCUCUUAUAUAAUAUGUAAAUGAAUUGUGAAUCAAGAAAAUUUGAGAACAGGGUGCUCCAAGGAGGGAUAACAGUAAAAUAAGAAAAUAAUGCACCAUACAUACAAUUUCAAUCAAAAUUACAUGAUCGAUAUAAAUAGAAGAUAAGUUCGUCACUUGAGCAACUAUGAGAACUACAAGACUUAAAAUGAUAACAUAAGAAGCCCAAACAUGUAUUUUAAUUUUACAGAAGAAUGGAAAAAAGAAAGACGCACAAACUUCUAAACCUAGCAUUAAGUUGAGUAGGCACUCAAGUUAUGACAAAAGGUCUUGGCUAACAAAUGAUUAUGCAUUGAUUUUAUUUUUAUUUGGUAUCCAUUAAUUAGCACUGAUAUGCUACCGUUACAGAAAAUACUUGUUACUCUGCAAAUUUGUUUUAGGACCCAUAUUACAUUUUACAAACAUUUGUGCCUAGAAAAAAGCAGUUUGGAGCUAAGUUCAUCUUGAUCUUACUUAAUAAAAACAUAAAAUGGGUGUCACUGCAAAUGAAGACAACAUAAAUAGCAUGGUAGGAUGAUUUAGCCUAAGUAACCUCAAGGAGAAAUCCUCCAAGAACCAAGAUUCUGGAUUUUUUUAUUAGAAUGAAUAAUGUGCUUCAUACAAGAGGAGAAGACUCCUAUUUAUAGAGGUCUAUUACAAGUGGGGGUAAAAAGGGAAUUAACCUAGAAUAUUACCUAGUUACCCAAUUAACCCUUAGCCUUCUUAUAUCAUAGGAAUGGCUCAAGUUGACUCAUUUGUACAAUAAAUGCUUCCAAAGGCCAGGAUGAGAAUCUAACACCACAAAAUUUAAAAAUUUUGAACAAAUCAGGGAUUAAAAAUUAAAUUACCUCCAACGAUCCUGUUCCGGUAAAAGAGUACAGUCGCGUUGGAGUAACGGCCAUUACAUAAUAUCUCAUUCCAUUUAGUAUGCUAGUUGUUUCCAUCUGCAUGAAAAGCAAGCCAAGUGAGCAAUGACAGAAUUGAAGUUGUGAACUGACAACUGUGUGCUAACAACCAUGAUGACAAAAUCAAUUGUAGACUAAGAAAGAGGAAAGGAAUUAAAAAUACAAUAAAUUAAUAGGGGCAGUAAUUUUUUCAACCUUGAUCUAACACUUUUGACAGUUUUCAAAGUUAUUAGAAGUCAAGCUCAUAGAAGAGUCAGCUAAUUACUCGUAAUGCCUAAUGGAGAAAAAUUAUGAAAUUUCCAGCAAAAAAUGAUAGUGUGCUCAUCCGAGCAGAAAUAUUAUAAUGUUCUGAUACUCAAUUAAAUUUUAACUAAUCAUAUAAGGAAGUCAAGUAGGUAGAAAGAACGAAGAUUGAAAACUAAAAUAUGGAAAGAUAGAAACAAAUGGGCAUGAAGUACCUGCAAGUCCAUAAAAGCUUCCGGAAGUUCUGCUAACUCAAAAAGAAACUUUACAUACUUUUCCUUUUUUUCCUUUUCAUCCACCGCAAGUUCAAAUAGUUGUCCAUUGUCAGUACCAAGAAUGACCUCCUUUGUAGAAGCUGCUCUUAAAAGUGGCGUGCAGUCACAGCAGUAAAUAAAUUAGAGUCAACUAUAAUGCAAAUGUCAACCAGUAAACAAAAUAAGAAUUUGAAAGCAAACCUUCAGUUAUAUGUUGCCUAUUCCAGGCAACAGUAUUUACAACAAGACCUUUCAAUCUGGCUAAAAGUCGAGGUUUUGACCACUUGGCGUGCAUAUAAAAAGUAUCGGCGCCACCAGUACCAACAAUUGUCGUGAUACAAUGACUACCUCCUGGAUCAACAAAUACUCUGUGGAUUGAUUGAUCUCCAGGCCGACCCACAGAAAGAUCAAAGUCUGUAUUUCCAAACAUUAGUGUUUUGCAAUCUUAUUUCAAGUUAUACUGAAAUAUUCAUACAAUAAAGUAGUGGUCAGAUAAAAGUAAAUUGAAAGAAAGAACAAACAAAGCAUGAUUCUGAUACAAUAGAGUUACUGAUCAAAUAUUUGAAAUAUAUUUACACAUUUGAAGUAAAAAGACAAUGAAGAAGUGAGAUGUAAGCUCCACCCACCCAACAUUCUUAGCAAAUGAACCAUGACAAAAUCGAGAUGAGAUUACAGGAAACCAAUUUCACUGAAGCUCAAGUAUUAAUUGGAGCUGAAAAGCUAGUUUCAAUUUUUAAACCCCUGUACCACCCUCGAAAUAGAAAAAUAAAAUUUUCGAUUGAGUCAGCUAAAUGAAUAACUUAAUAGGAAUUCAUUGAGUUUGCAGCUCUUUCUCCACAUCCAUUCUACUAGCCAACAUUCUCCUUCAGGCAAAAUGAUAAUUGGAGACAAGAACAUAAACGAUGGAGGAAAACAUUUUCGUGAUUGUGAAAAAAAAAUGUAAUUAGAUUAGAUCGCAUAGAAGUAAUUAGAUGAAGAAUCAUACCGAUCGAAUCUCCGACUCCAAAGUCAUAGCGGGUGACCCAACCUUUGCUGGUGCCUAACAUAAUGACAUCGUUCCCAGCAGCCAUGCAGCUGAUUACUCCCCUGCCUUUGGCCGCAUACCUUUCCAGAAGAUCGACGGUGAAAGCCGGCCUACCUUGUUCCAUUUCGGAAAACUGAGAGAGUUCAAGUGUGGAAUCAGAGAGACCUAGGAAAAUUGCCGGGAAAUUUUACUCCAAGGAGCCGUUCGUCGGCGAUCGUAGAGGGAAUUUGCACCGUUUGAUCAUAUCUACAGUUUGCUCUUCGAGAAGUUCUGGAAACGCACCGUAUUACUGCAAUUUGCAACAGCCAACACCAACAGAUAUGCCAACUGAACGGUUCGCUUUGGUUUCUAACUUAGAAUGAAAAAAUUAUUUUAAAUGACCGUAGACACGUAUUAGUGUAACGCAAUCUAAUCUCGUUAUAUUUAUAAAUAAUUUUAUUUAUUUUGCUAUAUUUGAAAACAAUCCAGGUAAAUAAUAAAUAAUCAAUAAUAAAUAAUCAAUAUGAAUGUUUUUAAAUGCUUAAAAGGUUAUGAAUUUAAUUGCUAUCACACUCUACAUUUCUAUCCUCUUAGUUUAUUCAAAUAUUUUUUUAAAAUAUGGUUUUUUUUCUUUCUUGAAUGUAUUUCUUUUUUAUAGAAAAUUAAAACAAAUACAGAGUUGCAGUUUUUUUUUUUUUUUUGGAGAAAACCAACAUGCUCAAAUUGUCACAUCAUCAUAGAGAUUCUAGUAUUGCUUGAAUAUUAUAAAACAACUCUUAUUUAGGACUAAACCUAAGGAUUAUAAAGCCAUACCAUAGAGACUAUGUGAAUGAGAAGAUAAAUCUUUUAUUACUGUUUUUCAAAUCAAUAAUUCAAAUAGUGCAAAUAUUAUAUAAAUUUCUCAAAUUACAAUUAUUUACUAAAUGUUUUAAAGGGUAGUUGUAAAUUUAGCUAUUAAAUUCAAAAUAAUUAAGUAUAUAGCAACAUUUUAAAAAAAUUGUAAAUAUAGCAAAAUUUUUCAAAUUCUAUCAAUGAUAUGAGUUUAUCAACGAUAAACCAUGUUGCAAAUAUUGGUCUAUCAUUGAUAGACUAUACGAAAUGUAUCAGCGAUAUCGGUGAUAGUUUUGCUAUAUUUGCAAUUUUUUUAAAAUUUUACUAUAUCCUAAUUAUUAUUUUUAAAGUGCAAUUUUUCACUUAAAUAUGGUAAAAAUAUAAAGACAGUUUUAGAUCAAAAUAUCUAAAACUAUUUUAAAAAACAUAUUCAUCGUAAAUUUUACAAAAUAUUUACCACCUAUAACAAAUUUUAUCAUUGAUAGUCAUUGAUAUACUAUAGUGGUAAAAAAACUAUUACCGCUAGAAUAAAAAAAUUUGUUAUAGCUUAUAAAUAUUUUAAUUUAUUUUACUAUUUUAAAAAACGUCCGUUAAUCAAAUAUAUAUUUACUAUCGGAGUCCAAAAACAUAAAACACAACCCAUGUUUUCUAUUCUCAAGAGAAAAAAGAAAUGCUACCAUUAACUCUUUUUUUUUUUUGCAGGUGGUCGAAAAUAAUAAAUACAAUGAUAGUUUGUUACACACAAAAGGGUGAUGAAAGAUGAUAGUAUGUUUGAGAGAGAGUCAGGAAUUAAAAUUUGAUAUCUAUACAUAUCAUAUGAGAUCUCUGUUGUCGCCACUCAAACACUAAACUCGAAGAAAAGAUAGCGGUUAGCUUCAGAUGCGGCUCGAAUCUCUUCCAAAUAUGAACUUUCUUGUCCAAUCUGAUACCACUAGAUAUCUUGUGCGCCAGCUGACUUGCUUGCUGAGUAUACGAAACCAAAACAAAUUCAGAAUUCAAGCGUUGAGCUACACAACUAAGUGCUUGUUCGAGAAUGUUUGAAGUCAAUCAAAUUCAAUUCAGUUUUUUAUUUUACACUUUUUCAUAAGGUUGGAAUUGAUUUUUAAAUGAUUAAAAAUAUUCUUUUAGUGAGAUUAAAAAUGAUAAAAAUGAUUUUAACUAUUUUAAAAUCGUCAAUUCGUGGCAUAAUAGAAAAGGGUUGGAAGAAUCUUCUGAUGAAAAAGCAGCAGUAGGUAAAUCACCUUGCAUAUACAGAAUACCAGAGCCAUUGAGUGCUGUGACCCAUGGAAACCCAAUCUCCAGGGAGUUCGGCAGCAGCUUGUUCUCCUCCUAAAGGAGCGAACUGUCCCAAAUGCUUGUACCUAUUAGACAUGGAAUGAAAAUUAUUUGCCUCAGAUCUAAAGAGAAGGAUAUGGUGGAAUUAUUUGUGAACUUUAUCGUGAUCUAUUCUCUCUACAAUCAAGGGAAAUUAUGAUAGAAUAAUGCACGAUGAGAUAGCAAUGUGAAAUCUCUUUAUUCAUGUCAAAGAAGAUAUUAAACAGCAGUUUGAACCAGAAGAAUGAAUGUGAAGGAAGCAUGGAUCUUCUAUGACCAUUUCGUGCUGUGACAUCAAGGAUGAUCUAUUUGGUAGAAAUUCUUUGGAUGUUUCUUAAACGGAUUAAUUUAAUUCUUUUGACAUGAAUUUGUACAAACUUUUACUGUAUGUUUAUAUGUAUGUCUGCCUAGCUAAAAAGUAGAACUUAUGUCAUACCACUUGAGAUUUGAAACAAAGGUGCAGAGCCCUUCCAUAUUUGUCAUUUUGUUUUGAAAAUGUGGGAUGGAUUUUGUGCCAUACUGGUGUUUGCAUGUUCUCUUGACUUCUACUAGGAAUUGUCAGGAUAGUAUGGAGGUCUUUGUCCAGCCCUUUUGUAAUGAAGGACACUUUAACAUUUUUUUGCUAAUAUUGGCUUGAGAACCAAAAGAGUCUUUAUGAGUAUUGAGAUUUCUCGGAUAGAGAUUUAGGAUGCAGCUCACUUCAAUGUCUAUUUUUUGGGUUUUUCAUUAUAAUUAUUGUUUUAAUCGGUGUUUAUACAGUUAUCACUUAUCCAAGACCCUAAAAAAUUGCAGGGUCUUGAUGUAGUUUCUUUCUGUUUCUGUUUUUUCUUUUCAUUUUGGCUUUUGUGAAAUGGGCCUUUUUAUGAUGGCCUCGUCUUUUGUACUUCCAGUUCAUUUGUAGCUGGUUUUUCACACGUAAACAUAUUUAUAAAGGAUGUUGACUUAAACUGAGAGCAGCCUAUUUUCGGUCUGGAACAUGGAAUAGAAACAAAUAAGCUUGCAGACAUACCGAAAGGGAAGAAAUUGAUGACGUCCAGAACUCUUAAAACGUCGAGGACCUUCAGGAUUCUCAGUGCAAUAAUCUCUGCGGUUGAAGCACCUGGAAAGAUACGCACCUUGUUGGGCAGCAACCUGAACAGGAAUAUUUAUUUAUUAAAUAACUUGAAAGUCUUUUCCAUGUAGACCAUAAGUUUACAUAAGAGCUGACUUGAACAUGGAAGUUUGUAUCAAUGAAGAUGUGCAUUUUACCUGUGCGGUAGCAGGCAGACUUUUCAUCUGCGUGUCGGCAAUAGAAAGAGCUGACUUAAAUCCUUCAAUAUCUAUUUCAUUCUCAUGUCCCUGAGAAUCCCUUAAGAGAUCUUUUACAUCGCGGAGAUGUUUGCUCCUCAAAAAUAUCUCUACUUGAGGAUACCUUAUGAGAAUAUCAUCUAGAACAUCUUGAAAUUCUGUAACUGUCAGGGUACCAGAGUUAUCUUUGUCUGCAGCUUUAAAUAUGGUGGCAAUAUCUUCCUAGUGAAAACACCAUUUGCAAUUGAUAAGCAGUCAAAGGCUAUAGUAGUCGAUUGAAAACCAAUAUUAUGAGAAAUCCCUCCACAACUCGAGAAAAAUUCAAGUACUUCAACACUUAAAUUUAAGAACUUCAAGGAAGUAAUAAAAUGGGUGAAAAUCUAGAGCUUCAAGAGUGAAGACCAUUGGUAAAAUUUGAUAAAUGUUAUAUUGCUGUACGAAAAUUGCUCUCAUCAAAAUCAAAUUGGCAGAUAGACCCUGCACUAAAAUAUAAUCAAGCAUUUAUGGCUUCAUAUACCAUAAUUUUGCGUUGGUCAAUUGUAGCACAAUCACCAAUGGCAUACACAUUUUGAGCGCCCUUCACUUGAAGCCAUUCAUCAGUGGCUAGAAUGCGUCUACUACCCUAUAUAUCAGAAAGAACUAAUAGUUAGAAACAGAAUAACCACCCAGGAAAAGAAUUGUGGCAUCCUGGGAAACAUAUAAGACCAGAUAGGAUAAAUGCAUCGGUCAAGUAUAGCGAAAUGUAGACCUUUGUUUUUAUCUAUUCUUCCUCUCAAAUGAUACUCAAAAGCACAUACAUCUUAAUCAACAAACCUGGCCAAUCUGCUCCAUGAAAUCCUUCACAACAGGACGAGUCAUGAUACCCGUAGACCAGAUAAUUAGUCCAUGCGGCAUCGAACAGGAUUCUCCAGUUGAUUUUACCUUCAUCUCAAUUUCUUUAUCAGAUACACUGACAACUCGACAUCCUGUGUAUACAUCGAUGCCAUCUCUUAGGAAUUUUUGUUCAGCAAAUGAACUAAUUCUUUCAUCAAACCUGCAUUAAGCAAGAAAGAUUUCAUCAACUUACCAAACCAAUAGAUCAAUAUAAAAAGAUGGUCAGAUUUUUCCUUUAUAAAUUAAUCCUCUUAGGCUACAGUAUGUACUUAAUAUUUUGAUUUUGUAGAGAUUCAAGAGCUACAGAAAAAUCAUACAAUCCAAAAGACGAGUAAAAUUUUGAGUUAAUUUUCUUCACGUUCCAUAAAAGCAGGCUUAGUAUAAACACUCAUUCCUUACGCAUUCAAAAUGUGAUCUCCAGAUUGAAUUACUGAAAUUUUCACUAGAUCUUUAACCGAAGGAUAUAAGUUAACCAAAUCUUCUUCAAAAAAGUCAUGAAGCUCUGCAGCAAAUUCAACUCCAGUGGGACCCCCUCCAACAAUAACGAAAUGAAGAUUUCUCCUUCGCUCUUCUUCACUUAGACUAGGAAUCACAGCCAUUUCAAAGCAAUCUAUCACACCUCUGCGGAUCUUCUGAGCAUCUUCCACUUCCUACAAUGGUUACCGAAUCAUAACAUGGGAAUUAAAUAUGAUAUCUAACAAAUUGACAAUGAUCUACAAAAGAAACAAGGACCGAGAUCGACAAACUACCAACAAAAUUUCAGAAAAUGCCUAACCCUAAAAAGUGCAUAUCAAACUAUGAAAACAAAACUGCUUACCUUGAGAAAAUGGCAGUUUUCCUUGACACCAGGAGUAUUAAAAGUAUUAACUUGCGCUCCCAUUGCUAUUACUAAAUAGUCAUAUUCUAAGGCAAACUCCCUAUUGCCAACCAAAUUAUUGUCAACAUUAGACUGGCAGAAAACCUUCUUGUUAGCAGCAUCGAUCUUAAGGCAUUCAGCUUCCCAGAACUUAAUUUCACCUUUUCUCUGUUGCAGAAGCAAUAUUGUCGAUCAGGCACCUUCAUAAGUUCAAUUAAUUGCGAACAAAAACAAAAUUAAACUGUACUCUUCUCCAAGCGAUUUUUCUUUCUUUUUUUUUUUUUUUUUGUGAAAAUGUACAGUCGACCGCUACUUUUAAGGACUCUUCAGCUCUAAGGCCCUUAAGCUGCGUUCUCCUUUUUUUUGUUAAAUUAAAUUAAACAAAUCAAAUAAAUUACCUUCUUCACGAUGUUCCGAACCGGUUCAACAAUGCUUCGUGCUUCAACUGAUCCACAUGUAACACUAGGCAAUAAAGGAGUAAAUGAGAAAUAAUUUUGAGGCGAAACAACCUGAACGUCAUAUUUUGAAGCAUCCAGAUCCUUGAGAAAACUGGUGCCGGCCCAUCCUGUUCCAAGCACCAGAACUCUCUUUUUUGGUGAUUCCUCAACAGAACCGCCAACGUCUGAUUGUGAAUCUGCAUAUGCCAAUAGACCUCCGCCACUGAAACCAAAACAAAAACCAUUUCAGAGACAAAUAAUUGAACAAAUACAAAACUAAAGAUUUGAUUAGUCCCCUGAAGAUUCUUCCAUUUAGCACAACAAACUACUAAAAGAAAAUAGAACCGAAGCAAACGAAAUGACCGUUCAUUUUUACUUGUAAUCAGUCAUCACAUUCACUUACUAUAUACAUUUUGAGAAGUAAAAGAUAAGGAAACAAAUAUACAAACCAGUCAUGGAUGAAGAAACUAAAAGCUAAAACAUGAAAUCAGAACUUAAAGUAUCAAGAUCUACGUCAUGGUUUCAUUGAACAUCCACUCCGUCACUCCGUCACUCCGUCGUUUUACAAACUUAAACAAUCUACUCCCAAACAAAUAGUCGAAUUCCAACAGAAUCUUGAAUCUCAAAACAAAGAAAAUUUAGAGUUGUUGAAAGUCAAAGCAACAAAUCUCAAAUCAUGUCCAAACAAUGUGGUUGAAAGACAUUGCUCCUCGAGUAUUUAUCGGAGAUACUGUUUAAGAGAGAAGAAAGGGAAAAUUGAAGGCGAGGAGAAGCAGAAACCUGAGGGUGCUGAUAAGUAGAAGCUUUGAAUAUGCAGGGGAGCCAUGAAAAGCUCUGGAAGCUCUAGAGAAGAAGGAGAAAAUUGUCAUAUCAACGGAAGAACACGAUGAGUAGAGUACUAGGAAGAGAACAACGAACGUGUAUGAUUGAUGAUUCUGCAGAAGAAGGAAGCUAUUUGACAAGAUCAAACAGAAUGGGCGUAGACAGGCCAAGAUAUUUUGCACGCAACGUAUAAUAUAAAACCGUUUCCCGUGUCAUUUGUCCUCCUAAGAGGUGAAUGUUGGGUGGGUUGUCAUAGGGUCAAUUGGAUCUCAUGUAUUAAAAUUAACUUAAAUACUCAAAUUCUUUUACACGGUACUAUAUUUAAACCAUUUUGGUUUAAAUUAUCAACUAGGAGACAAUAGUAAAUACCAUAUACAAAUAACUUUGUAAAUAAAUAUAAGUCAUAAUAAUUGGGAAGGUGAAGCCAAAAUAAUGGAAGGCUUAAUGAGUAUGUGGCAAGUUGGAGUCAACUGUUCCAUAAUGCCUUUAAAAUAAUGUGAGUCCAAAGCAGUAGAAAGAUAUUUAUAGAGAUUAGUAGCAAAUUGUAGGUGUGAACGGACCAAUUAUAAACACGGUACUCUAUUGAAAUUUUUUUUGAUUAUGCAUAUCUCAUUCAAUAGAAAAUGUGAUAUAUAUUUUAUUUCAUGAGUUAUAAAUGAGGUUUGUUGAAUUUUUCCUAUCACAUGUGAGGAAAAUGAUGCCCUAUAUGCAUUUGUUCCUUUUGAUACAAAGUUAAUAACAUUCAUUUGAACAAUUUGUAGCACACGAGAUAAAUAUUCUGAAACCAAAAUGAAUGUGCAAUAAGUAGUAAUAUUAAAACCUAUAACUAUUUGACACAUUAUACCUGUGUAUCAAUUUAUUAAAAUAUUCUACACAAUUUUUUAAAAAUCGACAACAAUAAUAAAGUAUGAAAAAAAAUUCAUACCUAUGUACUAAACAAUUUUGAGGUCCACAUGUAAUAUAUCCAUUGCUUCUAUAUUUGUUUAAUUAAUUGGAUGAGAACUUUGGCUUUGAGCACCAAAACUUAUGGAUCUACACUUACCAAAAUUUGACACGUGUAUAAUUCUUAUUAUUUAUCUUUUUUCUUUUAAAGGUACUUUCUUAACUUGAAUUUACAAUAUUAUUUAGAUUUUGUUGGUAGAGAUUAUUGUAAUUCACGUUCUAGAAAGAAAUUUAUUCUAACUGCUUAAAAUAUUUUAAAAUUAGGUACAAUAUUACUUCGAUAAAUUAUAAUAGACUGUUGUGAUAAAUAUAGAUAGUGGUUUAUCAUGAACAAACUAUAAUAAUUUACUAUAUUUAUAAAUAUUUUGGUUUAUUUCUUUAUAUUUUAAAAAUUGUAUAUAAUUUUUUUAUUGAAACAAAACAAAUUCUAAAAACUAACAAUUUUAUAUUUUCGCUAUAUCCAAAAACUUUUUGGUAAUAUUUUUUGUGUUUGUCAUCUUGACUCAAAUUUUAUUGAGCCUGAAAGUAGGCAUAUUUUGAAUCCACCUCUUGGUAUGUAUAAAGACUUUUUGUUUUCCUUCACCUACCAGGUCAAGCGUUUGGAGCCAUCAUCGUUUGGUCAACAUAUCAGAACUAGCAGCUCAAUCUCCAAUCACAAAUAAGGUCAAGGUAAUUUGACAAGAGAUGAAAAACUACGGCUGAGAUCCGACUAACCAUCAAAAUAUAGAAUGGAUGUUCAAUUGAAGAUUAGUGAAGUGAAAUGAAAUAUUUCUUAAACCUUAUGAAUUCAGUUGUUGUGCGAGAUAAAAUAUUAAAAUGUAUAAUUAUAUUAAAAGUAUAUAGUAUUCCAAAAACUCAAUUAAUAACAUGAUAUUAGGACAUAAUAUUGUGUAAAAUAAAUAACAAUUUAUUAAAUUAAUAACUAAUAGUUUAUAUGAAAUUUUCAUCCAAUAGCACAAAUUAAAAAAUAAAUGUGAUUUAUAGCCUAAGGAAAUAAUAUUUAUAAAAAUAACAAUUGUUUUAUCCAUGCACUAUUACACACAAUUAUUUUAGACCUUUUUUUUUUUAUCAUUUAUGCAACUAACCCUAGUUUAUAUCUCAUCAUUUAUCACAACUAGUGAAUAUAAAUAUAUACCAUCUAUCAAAAAACACAUUGUUUAAGUUUAAUUUAAAUUUUGAUUUUUUUUAAUAUGUUAUGAACCACAUGUAUAAGAACAUGAAAUAAUGUUUCUCUACAGAUCUGGAAAAAAAAUCAUGGAAUAUAGUAUCAAGAAAGUUGAAAUUUUCAGAUCAAAGAAGAGAAAUAAGAUGGCAAUUGAUGUCAAGUCUUAUUAUACUUCAAUCAACCAUAAACUUUUUCUUCUUUAUUCUUAAAUUUUUAAUUUUUUUAAAAAUGGUCAAAAUAAUUAGAUACGUUUUAUAUUGGAUGAGACCUACUUUGAGAUGAUGGAAUUAAUAUUAUAGAUCAAUAUGUUAAUGGACACAAACCCUAUCAUAUUUGAACAAAGUAAUUAGGAUAAAAUGUAUGAUAAAGUAGUGUGGAAGUGAGUUUAAUUUUAUUAGUAUAAAAUAUGUGCUAAUCAAAUGUCUUAUCAUAUGUGUGAAGAAACAUACAGAAUAAAGAAUUGAAUUCCAGGUGUAAAGUAAGGUUGUAAUUAACAUGGUUGUCUUAUUCUUAUUCGUAAUUCAACAAAAAUAUUCCAAACUAUAACCAACAUGAUUUUGUUUUUUUCUUUUUGGAUUUACCUCUGCUUUAUUGUAGGAAAUUUUACUAAGUUGCUUUAUAAGUGGUUUGAGCAUUUUGAUUACUUCAUAAUUACAAAAAUAUUUAUCUUAAACCUGUUUGAUUACAAAUAAGGUGUCCAGAUGUGAAAUAUAUUUAGACUCCCUUCCUUUGUUACUUAAAUAUUGAAUAUUUAAUUUGAUAGACCGAUUUUAAAAUUCGUACAAAAAAUAACGUUUAGUUAUCAUUUUAUUUAUUUUUUUAACUUAUUUCAAGAUGACAAACGACUUUUGUAGACAUGAAAAGAAUAAAGAUUGAUAUAAUUUCGUAUUAAGUUCCCGUCAUAAUAAGUAUGACAUUAAAAAUCUAACUAGUUAUUAAUUGUAAUUAUGUAAUGUUUAGAUUCUAUCAUCAACUGAGUCGUUGUAGUAUAGUGGUAAGUAUUCCCGCCUGUCACGCGGGUGACCCGGGUUCGAUCCCCGGCAACGGCGUUUUUUUUUAUCCUUUUAUGUUUUAGAAUUACAUGGAAUUGGCUUUAAUUUUGUACUACGAGAGGUUUCGGUGGGUCAACCUUCAUUAUUAUAGCAUUCAUUUGCUCUGGGCCUAUGAGAUUGAGGAGAUCUUCUAAACAACAUCACAAUCCAUUUGGUACAAUCCACAGUUUUUUUAAAAGACUAAAAUCAUUCAACUUAGAUCUGUUUCAUUGUUGGUAAUUGAUGAUUCCUUAAUACUGAAUAACAUAGUUUUUUAAAAGAAUACUUUUUUUUAUCGCCCAAGCUUGCAUGAAAGUAACAACAUAAAAAUCUCUUCAAAGUUAAGUGUAUGUAAUAACUAAAUUGUUAAUAAGAGUGAUUCCUUAACCUAAUAAUAACUCAUGACUUGUAUGUGAGUGAAAAGCAAAUUGAUUAUUAUUCUAAAUAAUUGUAUAAUUUAUUUUACUUACAAAAAUAUUAACUGAUAUAUUGAUAACGGUAAAAUUAAAAUUUGGAAAAAGCAAAAUUGGGUCAUUUUUAAUAGCCUCAUAAUUCUAUGGAUGCAAUGAUAUACAAUUGAGAUGUAAAACUGUGAGCUUUUCUUAUACCUAUUUUGUCAUGUACACUGUUUUUUCAAAAUUUCUUCGGACAACAGUGAAUGAAGAAGCUGUUGCAACCGGCCAGCCCCGAGGCCUGGCGUGAACACAGAAUCGUUUCCACGUACCGAGCACGGGUCAGCACCGCCUUCCGAGCUCCCGAUACACCAUCCCCCUGGAGAAAAUCUGCUCGUUCUGCCAAGCAGUUCUUUAUCUAUCUUGUCCAAGACGGAAUCAUCCUUGGCAAACUUUCGAGCAAAUGGGGCAUUGCUAUUCACCAUUUUAUCAAAGUCCUUCAUUGUCAAAGAGAGUGGAUGUUGCUUUGGAGGAUUGUCCCAAGCAAUGUAAUGGAGGUCAUGGCUUACUGCAGUGUGUCUAAAUUCGUCGUUAUUGCAGAUUACAGUGUGAAAAUAGCCCUCGGGCGAUGAGAGAAAAUUUGUGUAGUACAUGAGGAUGGUUCGUGGGAGAUUAUCCCAUCCCAAUAUACAAUACUCAACGAAUGAUCGUGUCAGCAUUACCCAUGCCGAACCUACAAAUAUAACAUAGGAAACUGAGUUCUAAGAACUAAAAGUUCAGAUAUUUGAAAGGACUCUAAACAAAGCUAGUCAACCCAAAAUACUUGUCCAUCAAAAGCUCUUUCCCAUUAGCAUUUGUAAGGAACUUGUCCAUCAAACAAGUUCCUUACAAUAUGUUCCUUACAAACAAGUUCCUUACAAUAGCUAAGCAAACAAGUUCCUUACAAAUGCUAAUGGGGUUACGCAUGGGAAUUUCUCGAAAUUUACAGUCAAAAGAUUCUAGGGAUGUCAAUUAAUAAUCUAUUUAGUAUCAAAUUUUGUUUGAUCGUAUAACAUGGCUAGUUUGUUCAACUUAGUCUACAACUGAACCAAAAAAAUAACCUUCUAAAUAUGGAAAAAAUUAACCUUGUUGCUCAGUUACUAUACAUCGGAGAACAAUUGCACCUACGUGCAGAUUAGUACAUGAAAGAAAUGAUAUGCAUACUAACCUGUAAACAACUUGAAGGAUGUUGGAAGUGAGCGUCUUUGAGUUGUCCAAGCAAGUUCCGACUUUUUGGAUAAGUAAAGACCUGGAUCGAUGAUGAUUGGUUUCGCUCGGUGACUCCUGAAAUGAUAUAUAGAUGUUGGUUAUCAUAACAUGGCAUGCUUAUAAUUACUAGAUCAGAAAAAAAAAAAAAAACUUCAAGGCGUUAACUACUACAUACAAUUUCCACCCCGCAAUCUGCGAAUGCUCAAUAAAAUUGAAAUUUCUAGUCAAGUUGGAAAACACAUGAAGCAAAUCUGCACGUUUGAAGAGAAUUUGAUCACAUGGAAAUAUAUUCAUCAAUAGGAAAUGGAAAAGAUGAACUGAUCAUAGAAGUAUAGAACAAGUGCACUAACCAUCUUGUGUCAUCAAUGGAUAAUCUGAAGCACUUAAAUUUAUAAACCAGUCCCAAUCCAGACUCUCCUUCAACAAAAUCGAUAUUGCUUGAAGCGUGCAAGCAAUCAUUGUAGGACCUUUAUAUGUAACCAAAUUUGAUUGAGCCAUUACACGCACAUUCUCUACCUCAUUGAAUGUUGAAUCAGCCUUCACUAGAUUCGUCAGCUCCAAUCUUUCUCGAGGUGGAGCCUCCAGAUCCAUGUGCAGAACAUAUUGAUUUCUUGGGUGAUAUACAGCCUGCAAAGUCCUCAUCAUUCUCCGACUGUCGCCUUUUGUACCCGAAAUUAGAUAGGCUAAUCUUGGAGGUUCCAUUUUCACAACACCAUUUGUUUCUUUCAAUGAACUUCUUAAUUCAGGCUCAAUGAAAAAACCACUCGAAUCCUCCUCUUUUACAAACGAAACAGCAUCCAAUGGCAAUGGCUCAUCACUUUGUGAAGGAAUAAACAACCCUAAAGUAGCUGUUAGAAGCAGGGUAACUGAAAUGAGCAGACUUGCAAAGAACGGAACAAUCCAUUUUCUAUCGCUGAACAUCCUUCCUGAAUGAGAAUUCAUGUUCUUCCUCAUCCAUGACGGAUUUAAAAAGCCACCCACAUUCGCUUUACGCCCUAUCAUUCCGAAAAAUGCACUUAACCUCAGAUUGAUAACUCGCACAAAGCUACUAUUUCUGUCACUCACUCCUCUGCCAAAAUCUCCAAUGCUGUUAUUAAAGCGACCAACAACAAAUUGGCCAGAAUCCCAACUGGCCUCGUGUAAAAAGAAGAAGAAAGAAUGGAAAUCAUUCGAAGUAUAUUCUAAUAUUGCUCAGAAACAAUCAAAACAAGCUCAAAAGAGAAACCCAUUUCAUGUAAUCAACGAUCUAGCCACAAACCAACGGGAGAAAUUUAAGAGAAGUAACUCAAAUAAACGGCAAGCAAGUAAAUAGAAUUAAGCCGAAACGCCCAAUGAAUCGAAGUAACAGAUAACGGCUAGAUUUCCUCGAACAAAGUCAGAUCUAAAUCGAUUGAAGUAAAGUACAGAGGAAGUAGCAGGGAAACGGUGGGACUGUGAGCUUGACAGAGCUCAUAAGGGAAGGGAAGAAAAAGAAAAGCAAUAGAGGGGGAAAUGAAAAGGAGAGAAAACAGAGAGAAUCCUAACUGGGUAUUUAGAGAAUGAAUCAGAAAGGGGAAAAAGAAGAAGAGAGAGGUGAAAUAAAAUGGGGUUGAAGAAAGUGAAAAGAGAAGAAGUUUGGAAUGGUGAAUGUGCUGAGUUUGAUGGAUGAGAAACAGUGGGUGAUCGGCGAAAGGAAGAAAGGGAAAGGUAGGGCAAGAGAAAAAGAGAGUGAAAAUGGAGAAGAAAGAGGUGACCGUGUACAGAAAGAAAUGGGCGAUUGAGUGGAUUUGGUUUUUGCUUCAAAUGUUGGCAAAACAUGAAAAAUAAAUAAAUAAAGAACACAGUGUUUAAUCAAUUUGUUCAAAGAAAAAAGAAGAGCAAAUUUAAUUUUUAAUUUUUGGUGGCAAUAAAAUAAUCAAUUUUAUUUUUAUUUGUUUUUAUCUUUUCCUUUAACUUCCCCACGCUUCACUUAAGCGCGUUUGGUUCACCCCCAAUAUACCCCAUUAUAAAUUUGUAAUAUUUAGUUUUGGUUUUGAAAAAGUUACUUAAAUGUAAACAAUGAAACUAGUAAAUAAAAGUGAUAUUACCUUAUUAAUUUGUAGAAACUAAACAAUUACCAAAUACGACAUUAAUCUUUUGUGUAUUUAUUUUGGCAACUUAAACAUAUAGGUAGGUGGUUGUGAAUAUUUGGUGAGUACAUACUAAAUGUCAAAAUAAAUACAUUUAAGAGAAAAUAUUGUUUUUUUUAUUUAAAAAAAAAAAACUUCACUAGUCAUUUAAAAGUUAUUUAAACUUGGUUAUUUAGAUCAUAAUUAAUCUAAAUAAUCCAUAAAUUAUGAAUUAUUUAGAUUAAGUAAAGUUUUAAUCUAAUUUCUAAUGGAGAUGAAAUUGAAAAUUGAAAAUCAUAUCAACCAAAAUUGAAGUUAAGCCAAAACUAUAGCAACCAAAUUCAAAUUAAACUUAAACCAAUUAAUUAAAAACUUUGCGUAGAUCAUGAAACGUAAUUUGUAAUCUAACAUAUUUUUUCAAUAAUCAUAUAUUAUGUGUAUUUAUUGAAGUUAAUGAAUGACAAAAUGGAAAAUAUAGUAGAAAGUAUUUAAUUACGAAAGCAAAUUGACACCUACAAAAAAAGAAAAUGACGUAUGAUUUUUUCAAACUUGAAUUGUCCUAUAAUACCAAAUGUUGGAGUUGGUGUUCUUAAACAAUAAAUAAAAAAUUUCAUUUAGGGAAAUUGGUAAAUUUAAAGCUCUUUAUUUGAUUGGUAUACCAAAACCAAAAGUAUAUUUUUAAGACACCGAAAGAAAGAAAGAAAAAAUGAACACAAACAUUAAUUGAAGGUUUUUUCUUUCUUUCUCUCUCUCUCUCUUUUUUUUUGUUUGAAUUGAUUAAAUAUAUAGAGAGAGAGGGUUGGGGGUGUCGGUUGCUCUUGAGCCCCUAAAGUGUUUUGACUUUAUAUUAACUACUCCAAAUUAUUCACUUUACAAUCAAAACCACAUACCAUACCCCAUUUUUCUUUAUUCUAUCUAUACACACACACAACAAACAAUGGCCAUUAUACCCAUUAUUGAAAGCCCACUGACACCAUUAGCAUUUUUUAAAAUACAAUGUAGACGAUGGAUGUGAAAGACUAGACAGCAAACAUCAAAAUUCUUUCAACACCACUCCAAUGGGAAAGAUCUAUCAUUAAUAGCGCAUACCAAGGGUGUCCACACUCCACCACCAUUUUUAAGUUCCUGUAGAAGAGCAAAGCAAGACCCUCUCCCUCCAAAGCAUCAAUCUCCCUCCGAAGCCAUUCAGCAGCCGCACCAAUAAGAGUUCCAUACACCAUUCAUCACCCACUUCCAACAAGUGAGUCAAAUGAUUUGAAUUCAACUCAAAUGUCAAUAACCGACAAAUAAAAUUUUGAAAUAUUAUUGCAUGGUCUAUUAGUGAUAGACUCAUAUUCUUGAUAAACUGUCGAUCACUUAUAAACUUUAACAGAUUUUGUUAUAUUUAUAAUUUUUUAAAAAAUAUUGUUAUAUAUUUAAUUAUUUUGAAUCUAAUGGUUAUAUUUGUAAUAAAAUAUAUUCAAUUAGGUCAUGGGUUUAUGGUAGGUUUUGAAAAAAAAUAUUAAUAUUAUUUCAACUAAAAUAAUUACAAACUAACUAGCUCUAAGGUAUAUUUAAUAGUUAGAAAGGAAAAUUGUCAAAAAUAAAAUAUUUACAUCCAUACAAAAAUUAAAUGUUUAAUUUUGUCUUUUAAUAGUUUUAUUCCGUAAAUAGUUUGUUAAUUUUUUAUAUUUUUUAAAAACUCUACCAAAAUUGUAAAAAUACUGUGACUAAAAUGUGUUAAAUAUAACACAUAUUAAAGUAGAAUAAUGAAAAGUAGUAUUUUAAAGUAAGAUAUGCUAUACAAGAAAUCUAUCCUACAUAACUCAGUAUUGAAUCCUUGUGAGCUCUUAAACUUGCCUUUCAAUUUUCUUUGGUGCAUCUUUCUUUUUCUAUUAAUUUUUAGUUCUUAAAAAAGCCCAUUUUUCAUGUUUUUAAGUGUACCAAAUGAAUCAAACUUUUGAUUUGUGUAUAAACUUUUUACGACACUAAUUAUGAAAUUAUGUUUCGAAUCAAACCUCUACAUAUAAUGAGUGAAAUUUGUCCGUGUAAUAAUUCUUAUACGUGUCUAGACUUAUUCAAAUGUGGGACGAAUGAAAUCGACAAUUAAAAUUGAUACAAUAAACGAUGUUCAAAGCUAAUUAAUCUUAAUUUGAUGUUUAAAUUGAUUCAAUCGUGAAAAUUAACAAAUUCGAAGAACUAACCAUUUAUACUCUCUCACACAUCCCAUUUGUUUUAGCAUCAUACUAGACUUAUAUUUUUCAUCCAUUAAACCCACAAACUCUAAAUUUAUUAAUAUAGAAUUUUAGUUGAUACAAGAAAAAAGUAGUACAAAUCGGUAGUUUCCCAAUUGGGCUAGCUCGAUUCCCACCCCGAAAGGGCAAAGCCCAACAGAAAAAGUAGUUGGGCCGAAGCCCAUUUUCAUUAUUCUGAAAUUUAGAAAGAGAAUCAUUAGCCGUGGCCACUGAGAUUGAUACUUUACGUUGGUGCAUAAGGUAAGCUUGUAAUAACAACAUAGAUUUCUAAAGAUAAUAUAAAGUCCUUUAAAUUUGAAUGUUUGAAAUACAUUUACAAAUAUUUAAUUUAAAAUAUAAGCCAUUUUGAAAAAAAAAAUCAAAAUAUGUAGUCUUAGAAAUGUAUUUAAAACCAUUUAUCUCAAAAUAGUUUAAAUAAAAAAAUGAUUAAAAAAUAUUUUUUUAAGUCAAUUAAAGUUGGGUCGAAAGAAUUGUGAGACUAAACUAUUGGGAGUUAGGUGCCGUCCAAAUCAGUUGUUAGGAAGAAGACAGUGAGAAAUAAAAACAACAAUUUUAAAUUUGCAAUCAACUUGUUACAUAUUCACAUUAAGUUUUUUCUAAUAGUACCCACCAUUAAUUAUUCGAAAUCCAAUCUCAUUUUCAACUUUGUAGGUUCAACAUUUUUUUUCUUAUAAGAAUAAUUAUAUUUUGAAAUUUUAAAUACACCAAAAGAAGAGAUGAACCAUAAGGUUUUCUUUUUAAAAAAUUAUGUAAGGGCUAUAUUACAAAAUAUAGAUAAUAGAUAUUAGUAUGUAUAGUUUAAAUGAGAGUUUACCUUAUUUGAUAAACAGUAAUUGAGAUAUAAUUCUUAAAAAGAAAAAAAAAAACUUCAAAAUUCCCACUUUUGUGUUGUAAUUAAAGAAAAUAAUUGUUAAGUGAUGUAAUAAUAAAGGACGGUGACUUAAGAUGACAUUAGAGCAUGUGAUCUAACAAAGUUGUGUUUAAGCCUCUUUUAUAUAUCAAACCUAUAAAUGAUGGAAGUGGUGAGUGAUAGAAAAUUUAAUUAUUUAACUUCAUCGACCAACUUAAACUUUUAAGUCACUUUGUGAAUUACGAGUAACGAUAAAAUAAAAAAGUUAAGGCCAUGUUUGGUAAUGAUAACUAUUUUUUUUUUUUUAAUUAAGCAUAUUUCUUCUCUAUAUCUUAUCAUAAAUUGUAUAUUUCUUAAUUACAAUAGUUGAAUUAUGAAUCAAAUUUAAUAAAACAAAAAUCCUAAACAAAAUUGGUUAUCAAACUAAACCUAAAUAACUAUCUAAAAUAAUUUAAUCACAUUAUUUUUAAGUCAAACACGUGGGUGAUCCAUGACCUCUUAAUUAGUUAAUAAUAUUUUUACCACUAGAUCAAUCCAUGAUGAUUAUUUAAGAGAGUUAAUGUUGUUUGUGUAUGGUAUUUUAAUUCAUCAAAUUAUUUGUAGCUACUCCAAAUUAUUGUUUUUCUCUGUGCAUGUGUUAUCCUAUGAUUUUAAAAGUUUAGGGCAGCUAUCAAUUUGUGCUUUUAAUCUUUGGAAUUAAAUAUUUAAAACAAUAAUUACACCAAAUUAAACUAUAAUUUUAAUAAAUAUAUUAAUUCAUACCGUCUUUCAAAAUUUUAUACAAAACUUAUAAUAAUUUGGGUCCAGGUUGACUAAAACAUUUUGACAAAUCAAUCAAUUUAGACCUUUCAUUAAAACUAUCUUUAAAAGUUAUAUUCAUGCGUUAGUUUUUAAACUUCUUCAAAGGUUGGUUCUACAAAAUAGAUGAUUUUAGAAUAUUAUUUAAAUCAUUCUCUACAAUUUUUUUUAUAUAAUUAUAAAAGUAAAUAGUUAAUUUUUUUCUUAUUAUAUGUAUUUAUAAUAUAAAUAUAUAUAAAAGAAAAAAGGAAAAAGGAAAAGGAAAAAGGAAAAAGGAAAAGGAAUUGAAAUAGUUAGUGAAGAGGACACAUCUUUGAAUUGCCUUUUCAAGGUGUGCUUUUGAUCAUGUAUGCUUUUACAAAUAUAAUUUGGUGCAUAUAGUGGGGAAGAGAAAAGUCAUAGCAAAUCCCAAUUGGGCAAUUCCAAAAUAUAAAGCAAAAAAGGGAAUCACAUCCCAUCUCCCACGAAAUUAUUUAAAUCAUAUGGACAAAAUAAUAAUGCAAAUUCAAUGGCAUCAACCACCAAAAGUGCACUCUCCCUUAUUGCCUUUCAUUGCAUUUAUAUAUCUAUAAUUUAAUUAAUUAUAUAUUCACAAAAUAAUAAUAAAUAAAAUAUAUCCAACUUCAAUUAUACUUUAAACUCUCUACCUCUUCCAUUAAACUUCUUCUUUUUAUUUUAUUAAUACAACUUUCAUAUAUUUAAACUUCAUUUAGACUCAACCUAAUCAUUGGUUGCAACUUAAGUUAUAUCCAAUCUCAUACUUCUCUUUUUAACACAUAAAAUAAAUUUUAAAAAUAAUUUUUUUAAACAUACUAAAACAUCUUUGACUUGACAACUUUCUGGGUCACAUAUACAGGUGCAACCUAAAAUACACUUACAUUUGAAUAGCAAUUGUCCGUAUAAUAAUUAAAAUAUUUAAGUUUCUUUUUUAUAUUUAGAAAUUUAUUUUUUAAUUUUAAAAUCAUUUAAAGUACCUGAAUAAUUUUUUCAAACUUUAAUUAAAUAGUCUACAUAUAUAUUAAAAACAAUUAAAGAGAAUAAUCCAACUAAGGAGGAUUACUUGGUCAUCUCCAAUUUAAUUUAAUGCUUUAUAAAGGAAGCUUUAAAUGUCUAUAGAAAACCACCAGCUUUGAUCACACUAUAUUACCUAUAAAUGUUAUACAUGCAUCUAUAAUAAUUUAAAUUAUAAAUACAACUCUCAUCUUAUAUAAUUAAUUUUUUCAAUCAUGCCCAUUCCAUAAUUUUAAUUGAAUUAUAAACUACAAUAAAGUAUAGGUUAAGUUGUUAGAACUUUCAUCUUUUGUGUUAAUAAACACUUAAUUUUUCUCUUAUUUUGUAUUUAUACAUAUCUCAAAAUUUUAAAAAUUAACUUUAUGGUGGAAUAAGUUAAAGAAUUAUGAUAUAAAAAAAGACGUGACGUUUUUUUUUCUGAAAAUGAUUUAGAAUAAAAAUGUGAGUGAAUGAUUUUAAAUGUAAAAAUAUAUCUCAACUAAAGCAAAGCAAAGCAAAGCAAAGGAGAGUAAAUAUAUAUAAACCAUAAUACAAAGUUGAAAUGUAAAAAUUUUAGUAUAUAUGAAGUAAAGAAAAUACAUUUAUAACAGAAAAAGAAAAUGAUAUUUUGAAAGCAUACGAAAAAGUGAGUGACAAUUCAAAAAAAAAAAAAAAAUGCGAAGGCUUGGCAAGGCAAAGCAAAGGCAUGAACGGCCCCCGAUUCUUCUUCAGUGUGUGUCUCUCUCUUCUCUUCUCUUCUCUUCUCUCUAAUGUCAUAUCAUAUCAUGCAAGAAGGGCAUAACAAUAACCCCCUCUCGCACACGUCAUUGCCUUCCCUUAUACCCAGGUCUCAUUUCUUCAUUCAAAUUCAUCCAUCCCUCCAACCCUUUAAUUUUCCUCUCUUUCUCUAUCCAUGCCUUCCUCAAGAUCUAUCUCCACCCUUUCAAUAUGACCGCCUAUCCAGAUUCUUUCUAUUUUCCAUAAAAAAAACCCCACCAACCCCAUAUCUCUUUUUACCUGAAUUUUUCUGGGUUCUCUACCCUUUUCUUCGAUUUCUCCCCCAUUUCGUUUCUGGGUUCAAUCUGGAUUUCUGAUUUACAGAGUUAAUCGGACAUUCGACUGGGAGAUGGCUAGUGGGGUGGAUGAAAAUGGGUUCGUCUUGUUUUCUAGCGAAGAGUUGAGUGAGAUGAGUGGGGUUAAGUUCGGUGGAGAUUUUGUGGAAGUCACUUGUGGCUGUACUAGUCAUCGAUAUGGCGAUUCUGUUGGGAGGUUGAGGAUUUUUGUUAAUGGUGAACUUGAAAUCACCUGUGAAUGCACUCCCGGUUGUCAUGAAGGUUUUUUUUUAAUCCCUUCUCUCUCUUCUCUUAUAUUCAGUCUCUUUACUAACAUAUCUUGAAUGUAUGAUAUAUAGCUGAGUUCUUUACUUGGGGAUACUUGUGAUGAGAUUCGAAAUACAGUUCUUCGUUUCUUCUCAGUUCUGUUUUCAUUUUUAUGCAUGCUUUGGUGGGUUUGUCCUUGUAUUUGUCUUUUCAUGGAUUUGAAAAAUGAAGUUUGACGUUAAUGGGUGUCACUUUCUGUCCCUGCAUUCAUUGGGGUUAUGGAUAGGGUUAGGGUCUUACUCAAGAGGAUAAGAGAACUAGUACUACAGAUGGAGAUGGAGAGUUUAGUCUUUCAAGUGGGUUCUUUAUUUUCAUGGCAUGCAGUUGAAGUGUUUGUUGUUUUGUCUGAGUGAAUCAACAAUAUUUGAUAAUGGUAAGCAAAAACACGUAUGGUUUUUUUUUAUUUUUACCAAAAUUUCAAUUAUUGAUGUGGUAAUUGAUGACAAUCUUCUGAUUAAAACGGGUGUGAAUUUCUUUUGAAGUGUCUUAAUAAGUGUUUUUAAGCACAUCCAAAGUCAUUUCUAACUGAUUGUUUUGUCUAUGACCAAAAUGUUUUAGCUUCAAAAGUGGGAAUCUUAGCUUGAAAUCCAAUAUGAAAUAAUGGAAAUGCUAUCUGGUUUGUGGUUUUCUGCUCUAUAGUUGCUUACUUGGAUUAGGUUUUGACGCUAAGGUUCUGUUUUUUACUUCUUUUUGGGCAGACUAAUCAUAGUAUCACACCUUAAUACCAGUAGCUCUUUUGGUUAUUCAUGGCUGCUUAUAUUUUAUGAAGCAUUUGGUGAUAUUUAUUUUUUCAUCUUGUCUUGACACAAUAUAAUGCUUGCCACCUAAGGAAAUGAGAGCUUUGUUCUUGCUAAUGAUUGUGUAUGUGGUGGAUCGUUGAGGACCUGAACUGGCUAUAACACUUGAGGAAUGUCUUUAAAUAGCUCAUUAUGUUAACAUCCCAUCCAAAUGAAUAGGGCACAAAGCAUAAGCAAGUAAAAUACCACAUGAUGAUUUCCCAGGUCGAUUUGUUAUAUUUUUUUUAUUGUUUUAGUUGUUAAUCUUCAUAUGAUGUAUGAAUCAACUGAGCUAAAGUUGGUUUCACUUAGUGCUCCAGUAUUUAUGCCUCUUUCACGUGAAAAAUCUUUUAGUUUAAAAUUACCUCCCGUGGAUUUAUGAUUUUAUCAGAAUCAAUCAGAUUGGUUCUAUAUGAGGGCAAACGUGCAUGUUUUAAUAAUAUGAUUACUCUGCUUUAUCUGAAUGUGAAAAGUAUAUUAUGCAUGCCGAUGAUGUAAUAUUUAUGAGACAGAUCUUAUUUCACGUGGAAAUUCCUUAUUCCUAAUUUGCAUUAUAACUUUACCAACUAGACAAGUUGACUCCUGCUGCAUUUGAAAAGCACUCCGGAAGAGAAACAGCAAGAAAAUGGAAGAACAAUGUUUGGGUCAUAGUUGAUGGAGAUAAGGUUCCAUUGUACAAGACUGUUCUCCUCAAGUACUACAAUCAGGCGCUAAAAAACAGCAAUGGAUCCAGUAGAUCCCAAAACGGGCGAGCAUGUCACCGUGAUGAGUUUGUUCGAUGUAGUAGUUGCAACAAGGAACGCAGAUUUCGACUUAGGACAAAAGAGGAAUGCCGAAUUCACCAUGAUGCUUUGGCAGAUAGUGAUUGGACUUGUGCUGAUCUACCAUAUGACAAGUACAUAUUUACUUUGAGAUUGCAUUACCCUUGUGAUCCUGAAAGUCCAAUAAAACUUCGUAUUACUUCUUGUUUUGCAGAAUAACAUGUGACACUGAUGAAGAACGAGCGAGCCGGAGGGUUUAUAGGGGAUGCAUCCGUUCACCAACAUGCAAGGGUUGCACUUCCUGUGUCUGCUUUGGCUGUGAUAUCUGUCGAUUUUCAGAUUGCAGCUGCCAGACCUGCAUUGACUUCACAAGGAACGCAAAAGCUUGAUUGAAUCUGCAGAACAAUUCUUCUGCCCUGAUUAUUCCCAUUUCAUUUCUUUGUAUGAUGCUCUUCUCAUACAACAUUUUAAGGACAACCAAGAAGAGAAAUUUCAGAUUAAACUCAGCCUUAUUUAAUGUCUUUACUGACCGUUAUAGCACUUUAAGAUUCAGUACUUUAUAUGCCUUCUCUAGUAAAGAAUAGAAUAUGCAACAAAGACAAUGAUGGAGAUGAGUUUGCGUGGUAUUAACAACGUAUUGCCGUGUAAUUUACAUCACAUCUGUUUCAUAUUGGUGUGUGAUAUCAAUAAUGUGAUCAUUAACAACAUUUAAAACAUCGAAACAAGUUGAAGACAGUGCAAUGUGCAGAGAGCUUUCAAGUUGUGAAAGAUCAAGAGAUAGAAAUGAUGUUUACAAAAUCAGACAUAGAAUAGAGGUGGGAAUAUUGAAUGCAGUGGUUGGCGCAAUUGGCAUUGACAAUCAAAUGGAGGUAUUGGAAAGGAUGAUGAAAGGUAGAGCAGAAAAACAUGUUUCUUCUUCUAUGUAAAAGUAUCAAUUCAUCAUAAAUGAAGGCAGCUGGAAUCUGCUGCCUGCUUAGAAACGAUAGCUGUGUAGUUGGUAUCUUGGGAAUAGGAAUAUCCUCUUAUGUGGACAAAAGCCUCGACUUUAUGUCACUUUUGAUUCCUCCUUUUAUAAUUAUGUUGGUGAGGUAAGAGUUUGUGACAUUCCAUGAAGUGAUUGAUAGAAGCUUCAAUAAUCUGCUAAGAAAGACAAACAAAUUAAUACCCACAUUCAUUUUGUUUAUACUAUAUAGUUUUAAUGAAAUGAAAAGAUAAAAGAAUCAAACUGAAAGAUGCCUCACACCUUUAGAAAGCUGUCCUUUUUGCCUCUCAAGUUUGUUGCCUGUGGCACAAGCGACUCACACGUGAGAAUGUUAGUUUAAUAAGGUUGGAGCCUAGGCAAAUCGAAUUAAUAAGGUCAAGUGAUUUUUUACAAAAAAAUCAGAAAAGAAAAGAACAUAACAUUAAUUUGUUAUUCCUGUUUACUGUUGGCAGCUGAAAUUCAACUUUGGUAAAUAAUGGAAUUGAGGGAAUUUGGUCAGUGAAAACUAAAAGUGAAGUUUUUGAGAAAACAUUCACUAAUCAAACCCACUAAAUUUACACAAAUAAAUGUAAGAAGCUGAAAUCCUUUUUGUAAUUUCACAUUGAUUUCUAGUCACACCCCUUACCAUUAUUACAUUUCAUUUUUGUAUCCGACAGACCUUUGGACAUAUAUUGAAUCAUCAAUUUUUCUCUCUUCCACUUUCAGCUCACAACAUUUAUUGAGAUUAUUCUCCUUCAUUUAAACUCUGAUCCUUAAGCAUAAAUGAAUCUUAUUACAUAGUAACAAUCCUUGUUUUCGAAGAAAAUAAUUCAAUUUCACAAAUUGAGAAUAAUUUCUUCCUGUUCUCAGUGGGGGAGAAAAACAAAAGGAAUAUGAACAUCAUUAAAAUUAUAAUCAAGAAACCGUGUUACAAGAAACGUGAAAAGAUUGGGAGAAGUCCAGACCAAUACAAUAUGGGAUUAGGAAUUUAAUUACCUAAGUCAAGAAAAAUUAGACAAGUUCUAAGUAAAUAAAGAAGAAGAAGAAAAAGAAGAAGAAGAGGAAAGGUUAGCGAUAGGAUCUGAUAAUAGCUCCACAGAAAGUGCAAAUAAUGGCUCUCCAAGACCUCCAAUAAAAUGGGACGAAACAAAAUCUAGUGGCGGUCUUCAUGUCGGCGACGCUGGCUCCGCCGCCACACCGGGAACAAAAUCCGGCAGCCGGUUUGCUCCGCCGUACCUGACGAGUCUGAUCCACGAGAAAGCAAAAGCAAACCAUUUCUGUUUUUUUUCUUCUUGUAGUUGUAAUUGAAGAGUGAUAGCAGAGAGAAGUAUUGAAGUGCAUGAAAGGUGAUAAAAGGUGGAUCCUUUAUAUAAAGAUUUCUUAACCUUACACCCACUUGCAAAUGGUCAACAAAAUUGGUUGUGAGGGACAAAUAAAAAGUGUAAAAUUACAACUUUGGUCAUUUAUAAUUAAAUUUUAGGAGAAUAUGUCAAUUUAUGGUUGUAUAAACUGUGAGCUGUUCAUAAUUAUGUCAAUUAAGCUUAUAAAUUUUUACAAGUAAACUGGUUGAAAUAUAACUCUCAUUGUCCAUAAUACACACAUGACAAUGGAUGUAUGGAUGAUUUCAAAUGUAAAGUUUAAAUUGAUUCAAAUUUAAAAGUUUUAAUGACUCACGUUUUCACGUCAAAAUUGUAAAAGAAUAAAUUUUAAAUUAGUAUAAUUGUUAAUUUUUAUACAAUUCUCAAACAUAUUUCAUCAAUUUGAUAUAAUAUGAAAGUAUAUCUCGUGUUCAAAAGAUUAUAAAAUCAUUAAGUUUUUUAAAUAUAUCUAUUAAAUGGAUGAAUUUAUCUCGUUAGACGUUUUCAUUUUCAACCCAUUAUUAAUUUAUAUAUUUUAGAGUUUUUCUCUCGAAUUCGUUAACCCUAAAUCAACAUUAUAUUGUUAAACUAUCGAGUUUUAUCCAAUUAGAAAAACCAUUGAGUUCCUUUUUUCACAUAUAUUUUGUAGUUAGCAAGGACAAAUUUUUUUAGCAUAGAAAUGAGGUUGAAAUGAUGAAAAUAAAGUUGAUAAUUUAAGGAGAAAGAAAGAAGAAAAAAAAAAGUGUGAAAGUACGAAAGAGUACAUAUGGAAGAGUUAGUUAAGUCACACGAAAGAGAGGGAUGGGAAAGGGCAAUUAAUGGGGAGGAAUCCGUGUCAUGUUGGUCAUUACAAAGCAGUUGGAGGGUAAAUGUUGAAACUCAAUCCUCACCCUACAUCUGGAUAACGUUAAAAUCAAACUAUUAAUUAAUUAGUGUAGAUGCAAUGUAUGUUAGUGGCACCUUCUGAUUGGUCGGUUUUCUUUGUUAUGGGCAUUCCUAACAUUUGCAAUUAUACCCCCCGAUCUUUCCAUUAAUCUCCUACCCAUCCUUCAUAAUUACAACCAAUUCAAACACACAUAUAUAUUAUAUAUAGUUUUAUCUUUGUUUUCGAUAUUUCACUCUCGUAUUAAUUUUAUUAGUUGAUUAGAGAGACAUAUAGUAGUAUAGGAGUACUCUUUUUUCUUUUCUCUUUGUUUUGAUUGGGUAUGUAGUAAUUAAUUACUGGCAAGGCAUGCCAUGCACAUCACUCAUGGUUUGCUAUUGCAGGAAAGAUUAAUUUAAGAAGUGAAUGCAUGCAUGUGUGUGUUCUAUCUAAUAUGUGAUUCUUUUGUUUGUGGUUUAAUACUUUCACCACAGGUGUUUACUAUAAUUAACCCUAGACCCAAAGUGAGGGUGUGUGUGAUAUGAGAGAUUCUCUACGCAAAUAUUUGAAGAAAAUAAUCGAGGAAAAAUGGUGGACUGAAAAGUCUAAUUAAUUAUAAACAUAAACAAACAAAGUUUGUGUAAUUAGUUUUUACCGUUUAAAUUUCAAAACUAUUACCCCAAAUUUGAAUACAGAAUAAUUAGAGUGUCUUUCAUAUAUUAAUGAAUCUUUAUAUAAUUAUAACUUUUAGGUGUGGUUGUAAAAGGUAGUUCAAAAGAUGAUAUUACACCAUAUUACUAAUCAAUUAAAGAACAUCAAGAAAUAAUUAACAAAAAUACCAAAAUGUUAAUCAACAUGGUUAGGCAAAUGAAAGGGUAUAAACUAAAAAAGAGGAAAAAGAAAACCCACUUAUCAUAUAUAUAUAUAUAUAUACAUAUGCAAAAUAUUGUGAAAGUCAAACUACAAUAAAUUUAUAGAAAUGGUUUCAAAAGAUGAAUUUUAACACCAUUUCAUUAAUUAAGAUCGAUUGAUUAGCCAUCAAAAUUAAUGAAACUUGAAAGUCAAAAACAGCACAAUAAAUCAUUUUUGUGGAUUUUAAAAGACCCUCACCGACCUUUCAUUUGUACACAUUCAAAUUAAAAUUUGACCGUAUUCACUAAGGUUAUUCAACAUUAGAGUCUAUUUGUACUAAAAAUUCAAUACAUAUUUGGUCCACAAUUUUUAAAUGGGGUGGAAUAAUUUAUACUAAUUAUAAAUCAUUUUUCUUUUAAGAAAAAAAUAUCUUCGGUUCGAAUUGGGUUUCUAGGUUACAUUUGGUUUAUAAGUCUUGAGAUGUUGCCCAUUUUUACCCACAAAUUUUUAAUUUAACAUUGUCUAAAAUAUUACAUACUUGCACAUAAGUUUUGAGUUUAAUUUUUAUUUGGCUUCUAGAUUUGAGAAUAUUACAUUUGUAUCUUGUUUUGUUUUCAUUUAAAUUAAGUUUUAAGAUACAUGCUUUUAACGUAAUCUAAUUAAAAUUAUAGACAUUGCACAUGUUUCGUAGCGUUAAAAAUAAAAAAUACAUAUAUAAGUUCAAAUAAAAGUCUUUGACUUAAUAUUUAAUUUUUAUUUUGAAAAAAUCAAUACUACUUCAUUUAAAUUUGAAUUAAUAUAUACUUUUUAAAGUUUUCGAAUUGUUUUUUGAUUUGUUAAGUUCAAAUCCUUGAUAGCAAUAAAAUAAAUAAUUUGUUUCUAUUAUAUUUAUUUUAUACUAGACAUAAAUGAAUUGCUAUAUAAUUAUUAUAAAUUUGAAAAGGAGAAAACAAAAUACCAAGCAUAGUAAAAAUAAUAAAUUAAUUUAAGUUCACUUAAUAUGUAGGUUUACAGAAACUAAAAAGCAGAAGAAAAGAAAAAAGCUAUAUGACUAGCACAAAAAUCGUAAAAAAUAACAAAUUUUUAAAUUUUAUCAAUAAUAUUUAUUGAACAUUAAUAUAUAUUGAUAAAAUUUUCAGUUUCUAUCAUUGAUAUAAUCCAAAAUUUUGUUAUAAUUUGUAAAUAUUUUAAUUUAUUUUGAUAUUUUUAAAAAUGUCAAAUUUCUUUGAUCACUUUUAUCCUAUUUUAAAAUUAUUUCAACCUCUAAAUUUUUUCUGAACAUUAAAGCAAUGUCUUCUUUUACAACAUCUUGAUAAGAUGUGAGGAAGAAUAGAUGAAUCGUAUAGAAAAAAAAAAAGCUACAAAAGCAUACAAAAGUUAUAAUCUUAAUAGAUCAUCAACCAAGAAGAGAACAUAUCUAUGAUAAAUAAAAAGAAGAGAGAUAUAUCUCUUUAAUUUCUAGACCUCCACUAGACAAUGCCUCUUCCUAAAUAAAACUUAAAAAAAAAAGAAAAAAAUUGUUGAGAACAAUGUUGCUAUUAACAAAAUAAUAAUAAUAAUAAAGUCUACUAAAAAAAAUUAUACCAAACGAGAGAAAAAGAAUAGAAAAAUCGAGUUAAAAAGUUAAAUUAGAAAAAGAAGGAAAAAGAAAGAACCAUGGAAUGAUGAAUGAACUAGAAUAAAAGAUGUUUAAUUUAGCUAUUUAAAUGAAAGUUUAGGAGUUAAAUCAUGAUUAUAUAUAGUUUAUUUUCAUUCGAAACAAAUAUAUUUACAAAUUAUAAAACGAGUAUUGAAUUUUUUUUGUAAGUUCAUCAUUUUUAUAAUUUAAUAUUAUAGAUUAACGAAACAUGUUCAAAUAUAAUAAAAUAAAUCAAAAUAUAUUUAUAAAUUAUAACAAGAUUUUAUAUUUUCUCAAACUAUUAAUUUUUUUAGAUGUCUUUGGAUGUUUGAUAGAAUCUAUUAAUGAAAAAACCAUUUUUUUUUAAAACUUGGACUUACACAAUUCUUUUUCCUUCGUGGUUAUUUAAAGUUUUAUUAGGUUUUAAAAUUUUCAAAAUAUUAUUUUUAAAUAAAAUGAAAAUUUCAUCAAUAAUUUUAUAGAAAACAUGAGAAUAUAAAUACAUAUAUUUAUUGAGACAUUUUUAAAAAUAGCAAAUAAUUAAAAUAAUUAUAAAGUAUAGCAAAAUGUUGGAUAGUCUUCUAUCAUUAUAGCGUAUCGAUCACUAUGAGUGAUAGAAUUUGGUAUAAGUUGUAAAUAUUUUGUAAAAUCUACUAGUUUUAAAAAUUUUCCUAUAUUUAUAAAUAAAUUAAGAUAUAUGAUUUUUCAUAGUAUAUAAAUAGAUAUCUUUAUAGAUUUUAGAGGAUUAGAUUAUAUAACAAAUAGAUUUUUUUUUGUUAUUUUUUAAUGUGAUUUAUGUAUCAUGUUUUAGAGUUAGAUAAUAUGUAGAAUUAGAUAAUAUACAUGUAUAUAUAUAUAUAUAUGUUUAAGAGGUUGUUUUUUUUAAAUAACAAAACAAAUUAAAAUAUUUAGAUAUUAUAGUAAAAUUUUGGAUUCUAUGAAUGAUAGUAUUUGAUUGUUAUAGCAUAGAUAUAAUUUGCUAUAAGUUGUAAAUAUUUUGUAAAAUUUGUUAUUUUGAAAAUAUCACAUGAAUAAUUGAAUCUCUACCGAGGAUGAGAAGAUUGAAAUAAUGAGUUGAUGAGCAAUCCAAUAAAGCAUACAACAUGGAUUGCAGUGAAUCUGCUUAAUCUUUUCACAUGGUAGUCGAGCUUGAAAUGAUUGUGUUCGUUCCUUCCUAUAUUCAUGAUGAACAACUUGUAGGCACUCUUGGUUGAAUGUAGUUUCCAAAAUACUCACCUUCAUAUAUAUUCUCCCAUGCACGUUUUUUUUCUUCUUGGAAGUCGGGUUUGAACAAAGAUUAUUCUGUAGAGUUGGAUGUAGUUUUAUAAAUAAAAGAGUAAGCUACUAAAUAGAAACCUUUUGAAGUCUCUCUAUCUGAUCUACUGUACUAAAAAGAACAAAUGUAGAAAGAAGCUUUGCAUGUUUGGUUUGUUCUUAUAUUUACAAUAUUGAUAUGUACUUAGUGUAAAAUUGUUACCGAUUAUUACUAACUUAUAUGGUUUAUAAUAACCUUAUAUAAUAAGAUUAAAAUGAAAAUGAUUGUAUUCUUAUGUAAAAGAAAAAACGUAAUAAUUAGAAGUGCAAAGUUUUGAGGUGCCAUCGUUUCUACAAAAGUCCGCUCUUUUUUUACUUCCUUGGAAAAACUGAAGACGUUUCUCGUCAAAUGAUGCUCUUCUUGAAACGCCAUUGCAGUAGUAGUUUCACCUCUCAAAAUUUCAAAUAUUCUACUCACCCGUCAAUCAAACUGUCUCAAAUUCUCCAAUUUUGCAAGUCUGGCUUACUCAACGAUGCGCUACACCUCUUAAACUCCAUUGAUUUGUACGAUUCUAGAAUUAACAAACCACUUCUCUACGCUUCUCUCUUACAAACCUGCAUCAAGGUAGAUUCCUUCACCCGUGGCCGUCAAUUUCAUGCCCAUGUUGUUAAAUCUGGCCUUGAGACUGACCGCUUUGUUGGGAAUAGCUUGCUUUCUCUCUACUUUAAAUUGGGUUCAGAUUCUCUGCUGACUCGAAGAGUAUUUGAUGGUCUUUUUGUCAAAGAUGUGGUUUCUUGGGCAUCCAUGAUUACGGGGUAUGUUCGAGAAGGUAAAUCUGGAAUUGCGAUUGAAUUGUUUUGGGAUAUGUUGGAUUCGGGGAUUGAGCCGAAUGGCUUUACUUUAUCUGCUGUGAUCAAAGCGUGCUCCGAGAUUGGGAAUUUGGUACUUGGUAAGUGCUUUCAUGGGGUUGUUGUAAGGCGUGGAUUCGAUUCAAAUCCUGUCAUUUUGAGUUCUUUGAUUGAUAUGUACGGGAGAAACUCUGUGUCAAGUGAUGCACGCCAACUGUUUGAUGAAUUGCUUGAACCAGAUCCAGUAUGUUGGACAACGGUUAUUUCAGCGUUUACAAGGAACGAUUUGUAUGAGGAAGCAUUGGGGUUCUUUUAUUUGAAGCAUAGAGCUCAUAGGUUGUGUCCUGAUAAUUAUACAUUUGGAAGUGUAUUGACUGCCUGUGGUAAUUUGGGGAGGUUGAGGCAAGGUGAAGAGAUCCAUGCUAAGGUGAUUGCUUACGGAUUUAGUGGGAAUGUAGUGACUGAAAGUAGUCUGGUGGAUAUGUAUGGAAAAUGUGGAGCGGUUGAGAAAUCUCAACGCUUAUUCGAUAGAAUGUCGAACAGGAACUCAGUUUCAUGGUCUGCAUUGCUUGCAGUAUAUUGCCACAAUGGUGACUACGAAAAGGCUGUAAAUCUUUUCAGAGAGAUGAAGGAGGUUGACCUCUACAGUUUUGGGACAGUUAUUCGUGCGUGUGCCGGGUUGGCAGCUGUUACUCCAGGGAAGGAGAUUCACUGUCAGUAUAUAAGAAAGGGUGGCUGGAGAGAUGUCAUUGUAGAAUCAGCUCUAGUCGACUUGUAUGCAAAAUGUGGUUGCAUUAAUUUUGCAUAUAGAGUCUUUGAUCGUAUGCCCACAAGAAACUUGAUCACGUGGAAUUCGAUGAUUCAUGGUUUUGCUCAGAAUGGAAGUAGUGGAAUUGCUAUUCAGAUCUUUGAAGCAAUGAUUAAGGAAGGGAUUAAGCCUGAUUGUAUCAGUUUUAUUGGUUUACUUUUUGCUUGUAGUCAUACAGGUUUGGUCGAUCAAGCACGGCACUACUUUGAUCUAAUGACUGGGAAAUAUGGAAUUAAACCAGGAGUUGAGCAUUAUAACUGCAUGGUUGAUCUUCUAGGCCGUGCCGGGCUGCUAGAAGAAGCUGAGAAUUUGAUAGAAAAUGCAGAAUGUAGAAAUGAUUCGUCUCUUUGGCUGGUUCUUCUAGGAGCUUGCACUACUACAUGCACGAACUCUGCUACUGCAGAACGCAUUGCCAAGAAGUUGAUGGAGCUUGAGCCUCAAUGCUAUUUAAGUUAUGUUCACCUGGCUAAUGUUUAUAGAGCAGUAGGCCGAUGGGAUGACGCUGUAAAGGUUAGAGAGUUGAUGAAAAACCGACAGCUGAAGAAGAUGCCAGGUCAGAGUUGGAUGUAAAGAGGUAAAUCAUGAAGGACAAGGUUAUGAGCCUCAUAUUGAACCUGAAUUCAAGACUGAUGAUGAGUUGACAUUGAUUAUUAAAACAUGAUCAUGUCCUUUUGCUCUUCCAAGAUGAAGAAGAACAGCCAUGAGAAGCCACUGAAUAUAUCAAUGAUAUACCAACCUGGUUGAAAAGGUUAUAUAGAGAGAGUUAGUGGAUUUUCAGUUAAUUGGUGUGGAGAAGAAGAGAUAGACUUGCCGGCAUUAACAACAAGAAAUUGAAUGUUUUGUUUUGAUUUUUCUUUCUUUUCCCCCUGGAAAAACUAACUUAUUUAUUUGUUACAUGUGUUCUUACCAUUCUUUACAUCUCUCCAUUUCAACAGAAAUAAAUGGUUGUGGAAUCAGCAAGAGCACCAUCUUUGGAUAAUUAAUUAGCAUGUCAGUGAUUCAAAUCUUCAUCAUCCAGUUGUACUAUUUUUUAAAUGGUAAGAAACAAUUUGGUGUGGAGCCAUAUCGUUUCCUUCUAACCAAAUAGAUUGUCAAGGCAUCUAUUGAACCUAAAAUUGGCUGUUAAUUCUUGUUAAGCACCGUUUGAGAUUUAGAAUAAUUAACCGUGAAAAAAAGUAAUAUAUUAUUUGAUAAAUAUCGGCAUAAGCUUUAAAAGGUAAGUUAUUCGGUAAACAAAUAAAAAACAUCUUGUUUUUAAAUAAUGAAUAAAUAAAUAUAUAAAAUAAAGAAUAAAGUAUAAAAUUGAAAAAUUAGAUAUUAACUAAUAUUUUUACAAACUGAUUUUAAGUACACAUAAAAUCUUUAAAAUGAUUCUAAUAUAUUUAAUUUAAAUAUAUUUUACCAAAACACAAAAAACGAUCAAGAUCUUCAAAUGGUUUUUUUAACGCAACCAACAAAAGGUCAAAAAUUGCAUUAGAAAAAGUAUCUGAUCACCCAAAAGUUAUUGAUAUUCCACGUUUCGAUUUUAAGUCACCAUUAUACCAUUAUAAGUCUCAAUUCUCUCUUUUUUAAAAUUCUAAUCCAAAGUCAAUGUACAACUUCUGAAAAGACAUUUUUUUAUACAGAACCUAAAAUUUAGGAGUACUUUUUAUAAUUUAACCAAAAAAAAAAUAUACAUUAUUACAGCAAAAGUAAUUGUCAAAAUGGAUCUUCAAGAGAAGUAAAGGGAAGAAGAAAUUUUUGUUGUUGUGUGCUUGCUAAAUUUUCUCUGGUUUGUUGGCUAAGACAGUUUAAUGAAUUAAUAGGAAAAUAACACGAUAGGUAACCUCACUAUAUGAAAAACUGAUGUAAUGAAGGUGAUCAAAACAAUGGAUUUUCCUUACACACACACACACACAUACUCUCUCUGUUCAGGUAGGGGGUUGGAGAUGAUGGAGUUGAUCUUUGAGCCUCCUCCUCAGCAUAUUAUAUAUAAACCACUUUUAAUGUUCAUAUCAAAAAGCUGCCCUCAGAGUUCCCAUGGCGGCUUCACGUUUCAUUUCUGCAGCCUUACCGCUACCUCGAAAAUACAUAUAAACUUGCUGCAAAUUUUAUGCAUUAAGUUUUUCAGUGAGAAUCAAAUACAAAUUGAAGGGCAUACGAAGAAGCGGUUUGAUUUCUUUGAGUUACAGACCUGGAUAACCCAUAUGCUGAUUAGAGAUUCAAUGCAGAAGAAUGCAAAACCAAUGAAGUAGAAAAUCUGCAAGAAAGUGUCAUUACUCCUUAAGUACCAGUUUUUCAACAUAAAUCAAUAUACAAACUGACAGAAGAAUCACUACGCUUUUACGAAAAAAUAGAUCAACAGGAGUUUAGUCCUCUGAUUUCAUAAGUUGGUGCUAAAACUCAAUUCCUACACAAUCUUCACUAAUUACUAUUGAAGUUUGCACAUUUAGUGAGCAACUUCAUCUUCCUCUUUCCCUCCAUCUAAUAUUUUUACUCCAAACUUCAUAACUAAAUUCAGUGCUGCAAAUACCACCAAUAAUGAACAACAUGGAUAUUCUAUUUGACAAUAAAACCAUUCAUACGAUUAAAAAGCAAAGCCCAGUCUCUCUUAAAUCACGAGUCAAUAGGUUAAAAAUAUGGCCAAGACCACUACUGCACUAAAAGCUUUUAAUCAGAGUUGAAACAGGGGUUUCAAAAGUAGAAGCAAGCCAUGUACCAGCAUUCGAACUUUUAACAUAGGAUUUAAAACUUGCAAUUCAAUUUUCUUAUGUUGCAGCUCAAUAUAUUGAUUAUAAUUUAAAAUACCUAUAUUAGUUGAUUUUGGUAUAAAUAUAAUAGAUAGCAUUUCAAAACAUAGAGACACAUGCAAACUCGAGUGGACUUACCCCAACCAAAGCGUUACUGCUCAACAGGUCUAUAGCAGGUAAGAUCCCUCUGAAAAAAACAUCAAACAAAUAUCAACUUCUCUCAAGAAAAUUACGAGAGAAUAUUAGUUGCUCAGGAAGUAUAACCCUUAUUUGCAUACAAGAACAUCAAGACUUACGUAAGAGAUUUCCCCUUAAAUAUAAUGGGAGGAGCAACUGCAGAAAAGACGCAGAAGCCAAUAUGAAUCUGGAAGAAGAAAUUUGUUCACUUGAGUACAGAGCAAAACAUCUUCAAAGUUGGAAAAGUAACUGAAAUGUGAAGUUGUGAGGUUACCAGGUAAACUAGGAAAAACCACCCAAACUUCAGAGCACUGUCGGUCCUGUACAUGUUAAUAAUCCAACGUGUCACAAGAAUCACCAUCAUCGAUAAACCAACCAAAUGAACUGAAAGAGUACUAAUUCUUAAAUAAGUUUAUUAAAUACUAUGUGUUCAUCAGCUCCACACCAAUAGAACAACUUCUUUAACUUUGAACAAACAAAUGGUCCUUCUCUCCAGAGAAACAAUCUCUCGCCUAAUUUAGUACAUAUCUUAAGGUAUCUUCCUAUCAGUUACCACAUUAAUAUAGAUUCUUGCAGCUUCCUCGACUCAUUUAAGGGUAAUAUAAUAUUACUAUCUCCAAUGAACAAGUCCCCUAGAAAGUACAAUUGGAAUUUUUUUUUGUUGUGGGGGGGGGGGGGGGGGGGGGGGGGUUCUUUCAUGGUAGAGAAAGAAAAGGCACAGUUCCAUUAAGUUAUACCUUGUAGCACGAUAGAGAGGACGAUACCACCCAACAUACGCUCCAGGUACACCUGAUAUGAAGUAGAUAAUCGCAAGAAACCAUAUUGUUGGACCUGCACGAGAAAUAACUAUUAAUAACAAACCAUAGAAAACAAAAUAUUUUGAAGGGAAAAGGGGGAUGCAAAGAAGAGGAUCAACUCACCUUCACCUUUGAUCCAAGCAGUCGUAACUGCUACAAUAUUCCAUGAAAGGCACACGACCAAACCUAAACAAUAAAAAGUUCAAUUUAAUGUACAUCAAAGCGUCAUAACUGAUCACAUGGAACAGAAGGAAACUGUGUAAGAUUUAGCAAAAUGAUCCACGUUAUAAAAGGAAAUCAUUCCUGGAAAGAUAGAAGGUGCUAUGUAUUUGGAAUUCCCACUUUGAAGUAUGGUGAGGGCCGAGGAGGGAUGAAGAAAAGUGCUCUAGAAUAGUGUAGAGUGGAAUGAAGGCAGAAGGAUAAAUGUCAGCAUGCGUUUAUCUUCAAGUCCACUAGAGAUAUGGGAAUACUACUUUUUUCACUACUAAACAUCGGAAAGAUGCUUCCUUCACCCACCAAUUUAACGAAUCAAUAAUCAAUACUUCAAACAGCACUAAUAUUUUUCUUCCAUUCCAUAAUUGUUACAAACUCUGAUUAAUUAAAAGAACUCAGAACUGACUAUUUUGAGAAAAUCAAGUCUCAUGGUGGUUGUAAGGGUCAUAUGACAAGUUAUUAAAGGUUGGAAGCCAAAAUUUGAUAACAAAAUGUCAUGGGCCAGGAUAUAUUCUCGUUAAGCUGAACCAACCUCGAAGCCUCAGUACUAGUUCACAUGUCAAACAGAAACUUCAACUACAAUUCAAAUGAAUCCACGUGAGGAAAAAUGUAUGAAAUUCAUAUGGAGUAAAUAAACAUAAAAACUACAACAUUGAAAGAUGGUUUGAUAAAUAGCAUGACAUCACCAAAAUCAAGGUUUUAUUUGCCGUUCAAAUUUCAACUUUUAACAUUCCAGUCAUAUCAAAUUAGUCAAACUAUCACGAGACACCAGCAAGAAAAUAGCAUCUGAACUUUCAAACAAGAAUGUAACUUUCAUGACUGAAAAUCCGUCCACUCACCCAACAAUGUUGUGAAGGCAACAUACUGAAUGUUUUGUAGAUGGAUCGGUAUUUCAUUAGCAAUAUCAUGAUGGAUAAGGGGAAAAAAUGGUGGCCAAUUUUUCUCCUCUAUAACAAUUCCAGCUGCCAAAAUUAAUAGAAAAUUUUCAGAUUGGAGAUGAAAGAAUUACAAUUUGCUUGUUUUCUAAUCCAACCAAAUAUAUAUACCUCUUGAAAUGGCAUCUUCCCUUCGUUUUAAAUCCUGAGCAUCAAUUAAGUAGCAAAGUCAUUUAUAAAGGGAUUUUAAUUUAAAAUACAAAGUAUCUGCUAACUCAUAUUACCCUUACAACAAUGAAAUGUAAAUUUGACUGUGAGCAAGAAUGGCCAAUAGUUGUUCUAACUCAUAUUUCUUGUGAACUGAUAAUUAUCACUCGAUUAGAAGCCAAUAAGGGCAAGCCACAAUUUGAGUGUACUAUUGACAUAAAAUAUGUCCUCUGGGUGUUGGAUUUUACGAUGGAUACACCACAUAGCAAAGCAAUUACCUGUUCCCUCUUCUUUAAUUCAGCUUCUUUAGCUUGAAGCUCCUUCUCCUUAGCUUUCAAAUCCUAGAAGUUCAGAGGGAAAGUAAAGGAGGUGAUUCCAUUUCCUCUGAUAAAGUUUCAAAUAGUUAAAAAAAUCCAUAAGAAAGGAAACAUUUCAAAGUACACAAUCCACCUUUCCAUUAUCAAGAGGAAUGUCAAUUGUUGCACCACGAUCAUAAGUUUCAGGGGGAAGAGGUGAGAGCCUCGAGUUUGCAGGUGGAACACUUCCAACUCCAGGAUUCUAGAUAUAAGAAAAACAGUAAAAUUGGAAGGAAUAACGAUAUUAGUUGUUCAAUCAUGAAAAAAUUGGUCAAAACUCCUGGAACGAACAAACUCAGUAAUUCAACAUUGCAUUACUGCAUUACAAAAAUGUAUCAAAAAAGUUUAGAGGAAGAUCAUAGAACUCAAACUGACGUAUUAAAUUCCAUUAAAAAGAGGGAGGGGGCCAGCAUUCCAUUCAUUAUUACAAAUCAUUAAUAGGCCAUGAUAAUUCAAUAAACAAGAAAGAAUACAAAAUUAACUCGGUCAUAUUAGCCUCUCCUGAAUCUCAUUUCCAGAAAACAAAACGCAGCAGUUCAAACACCACAAAAGUUCUCAAUAAUCACAUUUACUACGUUCCAUCAAUAGAAAACAACGCAAUUACACGGAAAAUCUUAGAAAAAGAACCAAUGCAGCCUGCAGGGAAUAUUUAUUUCAUUUCAUCUUUAUCUUGCAUAGACGAACUUGUUUAACAAAUAUCAACAUAACAAUGAAGUGAAAGACCAUUAACAGAUCUGAGAAUCCAUUAUACCAAAGAAAAAACCAUAAAUAACUCAAAACAAUAGAAUGAAACCAAAAAAAAAGGGGGGGGGGGGGGGGAAUGAAGAAAAGAAAAAUGCUCAUUACAUAGAUCGACAAAAUACAAAAAAUCGUAAACCAGAAACAGCAAUGUAUAAUCCGAAUGUAACAAGAACAAAAGCGGAGGAAAGAGGAAGAGAACUUACAGAAAAUGGAUUGACGUCUUCGUCGAAAGGAUUGGAAUCGUAGCGACUCAUUAGGAAGAUCCAAACGUAUUAUUAUUGUGUUGAAAGGAAAAUACAAAGAAAUGAAAGAAUAAGAUUGAAACCAAAGGUUUCUUACAGAAAAUGUAGAUUCGGGAAGAAGGAAAGAACAAAGAAUGAAUCUCGAAAUUCCUUUUUUUUUUUUUUUCUUCUUUUUUUUUGCUUUUUUUGAUUGGUUUUUGGCUUUUUGGCUUUCGGUGUGUGUUUCUGUUUCUUGUUUGUUAUCCCAACAAAAACCGAAGCGAAAAAUGUUGGCGCGUGAAAAAGAGUUUAAUGUAAUUAAAACACACAUCUUAUUGUUCUAAUCUCACUCUAAUUCGUGAUUUACUUGGGACCCACCCCGCAACAUUGCACUUUUUUCUACGUUUAUAAACUUUUCAUAUAUUCUUAAAAUUGAAAUUUUAACAUUAACAUCUCUUAUGGUUGAAGUAAAUUUCACUUUAUAUACGAAAGUAUGGUAUAAAUAAAAAAUAAUUAGAUUAAAACUUAUAUUGAAAUUUUUAAAACUAUAACCAACCACAUGCAUAAUUAAAUCUUAAACUUUGUUUAAUGCUUCUGAAUUUAUAAUUUCGCGUUGAGAUAAUUUUUAGUGAAAUUGUUAAAAAUGAAAGAAAUUGGCAAAAGAGUUGUACAUGAUAAUCAUUUUUUCUUUUUUCUUUUUUUUUUGGCUUUAGUGAUGUCUUGCCAUUUAUGUAAAUAUUUAGUGAUUUUUUAUUAUAUUUGAAAAAACCAAAAAUUUUACAUAUAUAAUUUGAAAAGAACAAAAAUCUUAUCCUUUGAGGUUUUAAAAUUUAAUUUAGUCCCCACUUGUGAUGACACUCAUAGCAAACCUACCUUAAUAUCUUUCUUAAUUAUGAAUUAUCUAGCAUUUUUAUAGUAAUUUAUUUAUAAUAUUCUAAGAUGAGUUAUAAGAUAUUUACUAAUUCUUGCUAUGAAAAAAAAUGAAAAUUAGAAACUAUUUAGUACAAAAUUUCAAGUGCUUAAAAACUUUUUAUUACUUGAAAAUCCAUUACAAACUCAUAAAUACACCCAUGGUUAUAAGAGAUUGAAUAGAAAACAAUCACAUUAAAGAUAUUGCUAAGUUUGUGCAGCCAAGUUUAAGAACCUGUAGAAACCUGCCUGCACGUUGUAGUUCACCAAAAGCACAUCUCAUAAAAGAAAUAUAUUUUUCAUUAUUAAGAAUUAAAAGGUAACUAAACAAUGGAAGUGACACCAACAAUGGGUUAGCAUAUAUUUCUUCAGAAUACACAUCACUAUCUAGUUUAAACAAUGGAAUGAUUACAGAUUACAAAUGAUUCACCACAAGAAUUGAAGCUCUGCUGCUACGAAAGUGUUCUCUUUAGAUAAAGCAGAUGGAAGAAGACGAAUGGCUCGUAAGUUGGUUUGCAAAACUUGAGCAUGUUACAAUUGGAAUUCGCUCGAAAAUCUUUGGUCUUCUAUGAGAAAUAUGGCAAAUUUUUCUGAAGUUAUUUUGCUUCUUAGCUGAAUGGAUUUGGCUAACUCUAAGCAAAAACCAUAUCAACCCUCACUUGAACCACUGCCUUGUGGUUCUCUCCUAAUCAUGUUGAGCAAGUCUUGAACAACUGAUGACAUUGGUGGCCGGAAUUCAGGCUCGGACUGCAAAAUGUAAUUAAGAUUAGGUGAAGGUGAUCCAUUUGGGGUGGAUGGAAAAAUCAAAAUCAAAAUUAGAAGGGUGCAGUCCAACUCUUCCAGGUUGGAGCAUGAAGGCAUUAUAAUGGCUAAGAUACUAUUUGGCAAAUCAAUAGGAGUAAAUGAAGAACAAUACUUCCAAUACCAAUGUCAUUAAGCUGCAUGCUCACCUGAACACAUUUAGAUAUGAUAUCGGCAAAGUAUGAUAAGGACUUGGCAGGGUAUCGACCAUUGAGUGAAGGAUCAACCAUGCUUGUCAAUGCCUCUAUGUCGUGAAGCUGCGGAAUUGCCCAUCUAACUAGAAACUGCUCACCUCUGAUCCUUGUUCUAUCCAAAGAGUGGAAAAAGGACAAUGAAUAUACUAGAAAUGUCCCAAUAACAAUCAAGCAUUUUCUUUCAACCACUUACCUGUCGUAAGACAUCCGGCCAGUUAGAAGUUCCAGCAUAACCACACCAAAGCUGUAAACAUCACUCUCAAGUGUAUAAACACCUGAUUCAAAUUCUGGCGCUCCAUAACCAUAUGCAGUUAGAAGCUGACCAGAGAGCUGGGAAGUAUGGAAAAUAAGUUUCGAUAAAAUUUAACCUUUCAAAUGUACAUUUUGGGUUUUGUAGCAUAGUUACAUUCACAAAGAGAGAAUCUCGACAAUGAGAAGAUUAAAGGUUAUGGCUUACCUGACUAACAGCUCCUUUUGAUAUUAGUGGAGCCAGCCCACAAUCUGAAACACGCACUGAAAGAUCAUCAUCCAGUAGAAUAUUCGCAGAUUUGAAGUUCCUAUGAAUAACAGGUGGCUGACAGACCUCAUGCAAAUACCUUCAAACAAAAGAUGAAAACCAAAUGAAUACAAAAGUACACACAUUUUCCCUUUAUAGUUCAGAUUGGCUUGUUGAACAGUUGAGAAUGAUUAAAAAGAAGAUGAAAAUAUCCAUACUUACCUCCAUACUCAAAACUUAUUAGCCAGUUCAAGAAGGAUAACCAGUUUCCCCAGUUAUACUUACUCCAUGAUUACCCAACACCUCCCUUACAUUGAUCCCAUGUUAAUUAAAAAGGCUCUUUCCUAUAACUCUUAACUUAUGGACUUGCCCUUCUAAAUUAUUGCCAUCCCAAAGAAGCAACACCUCUAUCAGAUGUAUAUUUUAUGCCGGAAAAUUAAAAGGGUUAACUAAAUUGAAAAUCUCAUGCAGUUUUCUUUUUACCUAAGUUACAUUUUCUAGUACUUUAAGAAAAAAUAAAAGCCUGAACUGUCCAGAAAUGCCCACCAACAGCUUUAACGCUCUUAAUAUACCUUGUGUUAGUGAAUAACUUUGUAACUUAAAAGAGAACAAGAAAACCAUACUUGUAUGAUAAUGGAAAACCAAUUCUUUUUUCCUCCGCUAGAAACAGCAUAGAAGGCUGAAAAGCGCUAUUAAGUUCAAUUCCCAGCAUGAAUUUUAUAGCGUAUAUUGAUAUUUUAAGCACUUGCACUAAAAAUGAAUAAAUGAUCUCAAAAUAAGGCUAGAUCACCAGACUUUAUUGCUUAAUAGCUGGACUGUACAACUAAUAAUGCAAAAGAACUACUUAAAUAUUUUGUUUCAAGUAACAUAAACAUUGAGAACCUCAUUACGAAACCUUGAUCAUGAAAAUCAGCCAAAAACUAAGCACAGCAGCUUUAAAGGUUAAGAAAUUCAGGAAGGGAAGGCUACAACCAAUGGCCUAAAUUACUUCGAAGGGAGAAGCAAAUAGGUGGAAAAGCUCAAACUUGCAUGAAAGAGGUCAUAUGAAUAGUAAACUUACUCCAAGGCUCUUGCAGCCCCAAGAGCCAUUCUAAUGCGGGCAUUCCAUGAAAGCUUCUUUCUGAACUCUUCGUCUGAGUGCAGUGCAUCCUGCAAUGUUCCACCACUGCAAUACUCAAAGAUAAGAAGCCUUUCACCAUGCUCUGCACAGUAACCACUGAGCUCAACCACAUUAGCAUGUCGGAUUCUAUCAAUAUUAUUGACCAGCUCGAGAAACUCAUCAUCCUUUUGCAGACUGAAUGCUCUCUUAUCCAGUUUCUUGACGGCCAGUACCUUCAAAGUCAUUAGAAUGGUUAAAUGUCAGUUUUGAGAUCAUAACAACUUAGACAAUAUAACAAUGUAUAUCAAUAGUGUGAAAAUGAGGUCGGAAUGAUCAAAUUGUCAGCUAAAUUAUGAGCGGCAUAACAGCUAUUCACAAAAACCCUGCAGAUUCAAUAAUACAUAAAGAGAGCCCCCAUGCUCGCUUUAUCCUUGUUUGCCUGAAAAAGCUCUGUCCAUAACUUCAAACAUCAAGAAGGGAAAUACAAAUAGAGGGGGAGAUGAGGUAAAGCUCUCUAUGCUUGACACUUUUUUCUAUUUCGGCGUUUGGAAAUUGAUGUGGUGAUUCUUCUUGAAAGUGCAUCCUAUUACUUCAAAUUGUAGAAUGUGAAAACAUCAGUACUCAAGAAGAUAGUGGCCUUCUUUUAGCAACAUGAUAUGCCUAUUGAAGAAGGGAGCAAAAGAAAAACAAUCUGAAUAUUUUGCACAGUUUACUGCACUAGGUUUAUAAUCAACAGCUACUAAGAAGCUAGAUUAAGCGGGCUGGUCAGGGGUCAAAUAAGACUAAUCAGUACAUUCUACACUUGUUCAUGUCCUAGCCCAACUAAACUAAGUUUUAUCCCUCAACCUGAGCAUGGUUAGAAUUAAUAUAUCUUCAAAUCUAACUCCAAAUAUGUACUUCAAUUGCUGACGAUAUGAUAGAAUCAAAAUCAGCUCAUAUAACAAUCGGUAAAAUUAAUGAGAGACGGGAAGAAUAGAACAUAAGAUGUUGCAGGAAAGAAACUACAGUGACAUUUUCAUUCAACUAAAAAGGAUUAGCAAAGAGUUAGAAACGAAAUGACAUAAAUUAUAGCAGUAAACUUACUUUCCCACUGGGGAGGUGUGCCCUAUAAACAUUUCCCAGCAUUCCUUCUCCUAGAAGAUUCUCUUGUGAAAAGCUGUUUGUAUAUUGCUGAAGGGACGCAAUGGUAUAAGGUCUCGCAAAAGGUAAGGUAAUUUUAUUUUUAGUGAGAGGCUUCAAGGGAGGAACUUCGGCUGGAACAGUGGGCACGGCAGUGACCUCUUCAACAGGAGGGGGAGGGGGAGGGGGAGGAGGAGGUGGUGGGGGAGGGGGAGGGGGAGGAGGAGGCAUUAGAUAGACAUCGAGUGUGCUCAUAUCUACUUCAUGAUGAUCCUUCUUUGGAAUGGCGCUCAUUCUUGGCAUGUUUUUCUCUCUCUCUACAUUAUCUUUUGGAACCUUCUGAACCUCUGUUUGAGUCUCCUGCUUCAUCCUUACA
rnacentral:lncRNA from 1 species